rnacentral:rRNA from 1 species
UACGUAGGGUGCGAGCGUUGCCCGGAUUUACUGGGCGUAAAGGGCGCGCAGGCGGCUGGUCAAGUCCGAUGUGAAAGCUCCCGGCUUAACUGGGAAACGGCAUCGGAAACUGAUCGGCUUGAAGGUGGGAGAGGGUAGUGGAAUUCCCGGUGUAGCGGUGAAAUGCGCAGAUAUCGGGAAGAACACCCGUGGCGAAGGCGGUUCUCUGGGACGGUACUGACGCUGAGACGCGAAAGCGUGGGGAGCGAACAGG